UACGAAGGGUGCAAGCGUUACUCGGAAUUACUGGGCGUAAAGCGUGCGUAGGUGGUUCGUUAAGUCUGAUGUGAAAGCCCUGGGCUCAACCUGGGAAUGGCAUUGGAAACUGGCGAUCUAGAGUGCAGUAGAGGGUAGUGGAAUUCCCGGUGUAGCAGUGAAAUGCGUAGAGAUCGGGAGGAACAUCUGUGGCGAAGGCGACUGCCUGGACCAGCACUGACACUGAGGCGCGAAAGCGUGGGGAGCAAACAGG
rnacentral:rRNA from 1 species